AGUGGCGUGGUCUAGUGGUAUGAUUUCCCCUUCACAGAAUUCAUGCGAAUUAUGUGCGAAGUCCGGGGAAGGUCCAGGGUUCGAUCCCCUGCGCUACUA